AUGAGUUUUGGAAUUCCCAUCAAAGUCGGGAUUAGGCUCAGGAUAUGCCGGUGGCACAGAGCACCCCAGGGGAGCGUGGAGGAAGAGGAAACCAUUCAUAGCGACUCAUCUCGUGGUUGGGUGCUGAUCUCAAGAGGGCAUCUUGCAUAUGCCAGAGGAAGAACAUCUUGUUUGAGGGAAAACCUGCCUAUAAAUCUGUGCAAAUUGAAAGAACAACACAGAGAAGAGUAAUUCAAACAGCUCUGGGGUUUUCUUCUUCCAGAUUCUGAGGACAAACCUGUGAGUAAUGAAUCGUUAGAGAAGUACACAAAUAAAGCUGUACGUGGUAGAGGCUGAUUUUUCUCAGGUACAGCACAUCUGUAUCACCUGUUGUAAAUACCUUGGAGCCAUCAGGCCUCCCCUGCUCUCAGCUUUGAGGAGCUUUGAAAGUACAAAGAUAA
rnacentral:lncRNA from 1 species